AAAGUUUAGCACCUUUAAUCUCAAGCCUGAAGUUCAUAUUAUGUUUGAGAAAGAGUCGGAAGGAUAUUCUCAAAAGACACACACACACAAACACAAAAGAUACUAUUUUGGAAUGUUUGUUUUAGUUCAAAUUAUUGAGCUGCAUGCAUUUUUUUUCCUGGUAAAUUCAGAUCAAUUUUUUCAGCUAUUUUUGGAUAAUAACUAUUAUUUUCAGGGAAGAAAUGAACCCUUUUACAUGACUGUAUAACCGAUGUGCAAUAACUAUUCAUACAAAAAAGAAAGAUGUGUGUAGUUACAGAUUUGACACAUUUUUGAUAAUGGAUGGUGAGAUGCAUCAUCUGUUAUACUUGUGAACCGAUAAUAAAAAUAUCUGGCAUCCUUUUUUUAUUGUUUUUUGGGUAGAGUAAAAGAUCUCAGGCUUUGUUCCUUGGCUAUGCACAUUGUUCUCAGUUGUGGAGAAACUGAUGUCAUCUUGAUUUUGAAUCUCAUACAUCUUGUGUCACCUUCUUCUUGUCUUCUUUACAUGCAGAAAUAGGUAAUUUCUGCUUUCCUACUGGUUGAUUGACAUGGCUGCUGGGAGAAUCAUCAGCCAGCAGCUUCUGAGAAAGAGGCAUCACAUUCAAUCAUGUAAUUCGACGUGGCCAACAAGUUUACCAACAAUCUUGUGCUUCUUGUCAUUCAUUUUCUCUGUUUUCAUAUCGAAAUCUGGUCGGUGUGGUAUACGCCGAAGAAGAGAGAAAGGGUGUGACUGCUGACAUUGAGGUGGUCGACGGACCAAAUGAUGAAGGUGAAGCAUUCGUACGUCCUGGCAAACUAUGUGACCCUUUCCGUCGGUCACAUCAGAUUGAACGAGCAGCAAUGACUUAUAAUUCAGACUUAAGCUUCAUAAAAAUGGUAAUGCUUUUAACUAUAUGCAUCUCUUCUUAUCAUUUUUUUUUUUUUGUCUUUGUUUCUUCUCCAGUAUUGCAAACUUGACCUUUUCAUAACUAUUAUCUUUUCCCUACUCGCCGGCUCCCGUCAUCCUACCGCAGGUGUCAUUGGUAAUAUUCUUGUUUAAAUUGAUAUUUUGAUUGAAAAUGACUUCCAUUGAUGUAUGACUUUUGACUUGUCAAUGUUCAAUUGGAGAGUGCAGUCUUAUCUUAAAUUAUACUAUUUUCUGGUGGCUCUGCCGUUAUCUUAAAUAUAGAAAGGAAAUAUAUAGCACUUUUCAUCCUUUUAUUUGUUUUAUCGUCCAUAUUAGAAUUUUAUACAUUAUAUUAUGAUUCCACGUAUGACAUAGAUCCUAUCUAACCAUUGUUCCGUCAUCUUAUCUAAAUGUUCUUUUCUUCUUUUGACGCUAUAUAUUUUAUACUCGAUCGACUUAUUCUUCUCCCAUUCAUUGUAUUGAUUUGUUUACUGUCAUCGAACAUCUACUAUUUUGGAAUCUUCACGUUAUUCUACUUUCAUCUAAGAUUCUUUUUAUAGUUUCUUGAUGAUGAUUCGUCUAGAACACGUAUCUUCAGUGAAUAUUGCACCUUUAAUAUAUAAUCAGGGAGACAAUGAUUAUAUUAAGUGGAGAUUCCAUUUCAGUAUCAUAUAAAAAAAAUAUUUAUCAUUAUGGCAUCUCAGUAAUAAUGUUGGGAUUAGUAAUACUGUUGCCCAAAAAUAUUUAUCCCAUCAGCGAUAACAUAUUCAUCCAUCCAUCAUUCUCUAAUAGGUUGAACCAUAAUCUUUUGUAUGCUUUUCACUACACUUAAAUUUUCAUUUGCUUGAAAAGCGUUGAUUAAUAAUAUAUGUGGAAAUUCAGAUUCAAGAGU